rnacentral:rRNA from 1 species
UACGUAGGGGGCUAGCGUUGUCCGGAUUUAUUGGGCGUAAAGAGCGUGUAGGCGGCCAGGUAGGUCCGGUGUGAAAACUCGAGGCUUAACCUCGAGAUGUCAUCGGAAACCAUCUGGCUAGAGUCCGGAAGAGGAAAGUGGAAUUCACGGUGUAGCAGUGAAAUGCGUAGAUAUCGUGAGGAACACCAGAGGCGAAGGCGGUUACCUGGACAGUUACUGACGCUCAGGCACGAAAGCAUGGGGAGCAAAAGGG